GACGAACGCUGGCGGCGUGCCUAACACAUGCAAGUCGAGCGGAGAUGAUGUGAGGAAGUUUUCGGAUGGAAUCACAUUAUUUUAGCGGCGGACGGGUGAGUAACGCGUGAGCGACCAACCUUGCACAGGGGGAUAACGGACCGAAAGGUUCACUAAUACCGCAUGAGACCACGGUGUUGCAUGACACAGAGGUCAAAGGAGGAAUCCGGUGCAAGACGGGCUCGCGUCCGAUUAGGUAGUUGGAGGGGUAACGGCCCACCAAGCCUAUGAUCGGUAGCCGACCUGAGAGGGUGAUCGGCCACAUUGGAACUGAGAUACGGUCCAAACUCCUACGGGAGGCAGCAGUGGGGAAUAUUGGGCAAUGGGGGAAACCCUGACCCAGCAACGCCGCGUGAAGGAAGAAGGUUUUCGGAUUGUAAACUUCUGUCCUUGGUGAAGAGAAGAAGACGGUAGCCAAGGAGGAAGCCCCGGCUAACUACGUG
rnacentral:rRNA from 1 species